rnacentral:lncRNA from 1 species
UGUUUAUUGAUGUGUUAAGCUAUUAAUUCUCUCAAGUUUACACAUCAAUAAAAUCCUUCCAAAUGAACAUUUAUUACUUGCAUCCUAAAGAAUUCAGUGGCGAUCCAGAACUUUUUGUAAGGGGGAGCCUGCUCCAGUCAAGCUUCAGUAAUUCCCUAUAUAAUCAACCAAUUUUUUUCCACAAAAAGGGGGUCACCCUUAUUUUGUUCUAGUAUUGUGCUGUUACACCAGGUCCCAGGUUUAUAGGGGGUUCAUCAUUCCGAAACAUGUUUAGCCCAGCCCCUUUUUUUACAAGGCUGUCAAAUAAGGAGGUAUUAUUCAGUAGAUGUCGUUAGUUCAAGUUGAUGUCUACCAUAGAUGUUUUUUGGGCGUUCAUUGAUUUGUUUAAACCAGGUUUUUGGUCUUCUUUUUUUUGCUUUAUAUUGUGUCAUGUUAUGGCCUUCAACAAUUAACAAAACCCUUGCUUUAUACUGUAAUAAGCUAUUAAAGCCCAUAAAAUGACACAAUAUUAAUCAAAACUAGAGGCUCUAAAGAGCCUUGUGUCGCUCACCUUGGCCUAUGUGCAUAUUGAACAAAGGACACAGAUGGAAUCAUGACAAAAUUGUGCUUCAGUGAUGUUGAUGUGUUUGUAGAUCUUACUUUACUGAACAUUCUUUCUGCUUACAAUUAUCUCUUAUUAUAAUGAACUUGGCCCAG